AUGACCUAUGAAAUGACAGCC
rnacentral:miRNA from 1 species